ACGGGUGCGUAACGCGUGGGAAUCUGCCCCUUGGUUCGGAAUAACAGUUGGAAACGACUGCUAAUACCGGAUGACGGCGUAAGUCCAAAGAUUUAUCGCCGAGGGAUGAGCCCGCGUAGGAUUAGGUAGUUGGUGUGGUAAAGGCGCACCAAGCCGACGAUCCUUAGCUGGUCUGAGAGGAUGAUCAGCCACACUGGGACUGAGACACGGCCCAGACUCCUACGGGAGGCAGCAGUGGGGAAUAUUGGACAAUGGGCGAAAGCCUGAUCCAGCAAUGCCGCGUGAGUGAUGAAGGCCUUAGGGUUGUAAAGCUCUUUUACCCGGGAUGAUAAUGACAGUACCGGGAGAAUAAGCUCCGGCUAACUCCGUGCCAGCAGCCGCGGUAAUACGGAGGGAGCUAGCGUUAUUCGGAAUUACUGGGCGUAAAGCGCACGUAGGCGGCUUUGUAAGUAAGAGGUGAAAGCCCAGAGCUCAACUCUGGAAUUGCCUUUUAGACUGCAUCGCUUGAAUCAUGGAGAGGUCAGUGGAAUUCCGAGUGCAGAGGUGAAAUUCGUAGA
rnacentral:rRNA from 1 species